GUUCCGUAGGUGAACCUGC
rnacentral:rRNA from 1 species